ACGAACGCUGGCGGUAUGCUUAACACAUGCAAGUCGAACGAGACGAGAUGGAAGGAUCCUUCGGGUGACGGAAAUCUUAGAAAGUGGCGAACGGGUGAGUAACGCGUGGGUAACCUGCCCUAUGGAAAGGAAUAGCCUCGGGAAACUGGGAGUAAUGCCUUAUAAUACAUUGAAGUCGCAUGGCUUUGAUGUUAAACGCUCCGGUGCCAUAGGAUGGACCCGCGUCCCAUUAGCUAGUUGGUGAGAUAACAGCCCACCAAGGCGACGAUGGGUAACCGGUCUGAGAGGGCGAACGGUCACACUGGAACUGAGACACGGUCCAGACUCCUACGGGAGGCAGCAGUGGGGAAUAUUGCGCAAUGGGGGCAACCCUGACGCAGCAAUACCGCGUGAGUGAAGAAGGUUUUCGGAUCGUAAAGCUCUGUUAUUGGGGAAGAAAAAAAGACGGUACCCAAGAAGAAAGUCCCGGCUAACUACGU
rnacentral:rRNA from 1 species